AGAACGAACGCUGGCGGCAGGCUUAACACAUGCAAGUCGAGCGCCCCGCAAGGAGAGUGGCAGACGGGUGAGUAACGCGUGGGAACAUACCCUCCGGUUCGGAAUAGCUCAGGGAAACUUGGAUUAAUACCGGAUACGGCCUAGCGGCGAAAGAUUCAUCGCCGGAGGAUUGGCCCGCGUUCGAUUAGCUAGUUGGUGAGGUAACGGCUCACCAAGGCGACGAUCGAUAGCUGGUCUGAGAGGAUGAUCAGCCACAUUGGGACUGAGACACGGCCCAAACUCCUACGGGAGGCAGCAGUGGGGAAUAUUGGACAAUGGGCGCAAGCCUGAUCCAGCCAUGCCGCGUGAGUGAUGACGGCCUUAGGGUUGUAAAGCUCUUUCGCUAGGGACGAUAAUGACGGUACCUAGACAAGAAGCCCGGCUAACUUCGUGCCAGCAGCCGC
rnacentral:rRNA from 1 species